rnacentral:lncRNA from 1 species
GCUAAACACAGAGGCUACACACAACAGAAAUACCUCUUACUGUACACCAGGCACAUGCCUGUGGAGGGCAGAGCCUGAAAGCAAGGAAAGCAAGGAGCCUGACUGUGAGGAGAGAGACUCCAUCAGGCAAGGCCUCCUUCCACCUGCCUUGCCCCACCCUCCGGCCCUAGGAGUCUUCAUAAGGGAGCUGUUCCUGGAGGAAGAACUGUGAGGGGAGAAACUCCAUCAGGCAAGGCCUCCUUCCACCUGCCUUGCUCUACUCUCUGCUUCUCAAUGUGUAUUGUAUUGUUUUAUGUACUGUGGCUUGCCGUUGUUUUAUUGAUUAUAGUUUAGAUAUUAUUGUAACUGUUGAGUGGAUUUCUGUUUAACUUUUAUAUGUUGAUAUUAUUUUAUACUAUUCUAAUGAUUGUUGAAUGUUACUUUUUUGAUGGAGGUUGCCUAUUUUAAAGUUAUGUUUUAUUAUCACAUUUUUGUAUUGCAUUGGAUUGUUAAAAGAUGUAAUUUUUUGUUUCUUCAGCUGUAAACUGCCUUGAGUAUUGUAAGAUAGAAAGGCGGUAUACAAAUUAAAAAUGAUGAUGAUGAUAACAAGCCAGAGAAAAGAAUGUGGGUUAAAUAUGGAUACAACUUUAUUGGAAACAAUACAUCCCCAGUUUAUUGCAGCAUAAGAUAAGGAUCUGUCUGUUGGGCAGCUUGCCUGCUGGCGCACGUCGCUGCCCAGCUUGCUUGCUGGGAUAACCAAGGGAGUCAGCAAGCCGGUAGGCUCCAUGAUGGUGCAGGCCAGGGCUGCCAGGCAUGUGGGCCCACAUGCAACAUGGGUGCAUAGUUGCCAACUUGUGUCCCUCCCCUCAACUGGGGCAGAAGCUUUCCCCCAUUGCUUAUGGGGAUCCCCUCAUAAGCAAUGGAUCCUACCCAGGUUCACUAGUGGAAAAGUUGUGACAGGGUGAGAAAGCCAAUAAACAGCCUUGCCACAGGGAAGGCAAAAAAAAAUUCUCAGCCUACGAGCCAGUCAAGGCUGUGGGUAAAAUUCUCAGGCCUGUCAACCAUUGACCAAGUGCUGUCCACAGCAAAGAUGGCUGCAAUCAAGGGAGGAUGGAUAGGGAACCUGUGAACUGAGCACACUGCCAUACUCUUGCCCCAUGCCAGUCUUCAGAGACUGGCCACAAGGACAGGCAGAGCAUGAUCACAGGCUUUGCCCCAGGAACCCACUGAGGCCACCUAUAGGCUCUCAGGGGGCCCAGUUCUGUCUCUUCCUCCCCCCAUGCACACACAUGUACACAAACAUAAACACCACAUAUCUAAUCUACACACACACACACACACACACACACACACACGGAUUUGAGGCACUUGGGGACCAUUUAGGAUAUUGACAAUGAAAUGAUUCUUGUCACUGUUUGUCUCUCAGUUUCAGUACAGGAAACAAAGACAGGGAAUGAAACAGAAGGGGUGCAAGAUUGAAGGCGUAUGACUGUUCUUCCUACAAGGAGUGCAGGUCCUUCAGAUGAGUGGGAAGAGGCAGAGCCAUGACUGAGAGAAAAAGGUGCCAUCUUCAAUACAAUGCAGAGGAGAAGACUGCGGAUAUUUUCAGAGCAGAGGCAAUAACAAAGGAGGCAUCCAGAGAUAAGUGAAGUGAUUGUGUUAUUUAUAAAAGAAAACUAUACAGAGUGUCAUGAUGGGGGAGAGAGGCAAAAUCUCAUUAAAUGCUUUAUCAAAUGCAAAUAGAGCAUCUGAAUAUAUAAACAAUAUCAUAAGAUAGAUUGUUCAAUUGUUAUAUAAACACAUCUGAAUAAAUAUUAAAGGAAAUAAACAGCGGGGUAGUUUAGCAAAUCUUGUAACUGGCUGCACUGCCAUAGUACGAUCUAAUGCUAAUUCAAAAAGCAGCAUUCAUCAUCUAGUACAAGAAGAGGUGAAUGUAAAAUGACAUUUUAUACAUAUAUCUAUUUCUGUUGCGAGUAUGAAGUGCACUACCAUUAUGACUCUCCAGGCUAUCAUAACAUGAUACACUUCUAUCUAAUGUUUACGUGCUUAAAUGUGACAUUUCCCAAUGAUUUGUUUCAUAACGUCUGUGUGGAAAAAAGAAACAGGAUUUACUCAUAUAGAUGAUCCUUUCUGCACUUCAAAAAUGGUUCUGAAACGUUUUCUUCACUUCUGCUCCGUGAUUUCUGUUUCUUUGCUGCAUCUGGUUGGUAGCUUGACUCCAGUAAUGAGUUAAUUGAUGAGAAGACCAAUGCAAUUGGGGGAAUGGCUUUUUUCCCCUGCUGCUUCUAGUGCUGCUUAGGAAUACCCUGUGGUUUCUUUCAUACCGAGCUUCAAAUGCGAUGUUAUUAUACCUGACCUCAUAAAUGGAUUGGAGAGUCCAAAUCUUUACACUCUCCCACUGUUCAAAAACAAAUCUCUCGGAAGUAAGAGCCAUUAAAAUUCCAUUAGAAACAGCAGGCAAUAGGUCUAGAAAUCUGUAAAAUGGCUCUGUGAGGGAUGAGUGAAAAGGGCACCAUUAUACUUUAUUUAUUUGUUUUCUUUUUGGACUGAUUAACAAAUCAAGUACCUCCUAAAUAAUUUGGAGGGAUUCCAUGUUUAGAAAACAUCCUGUUCUGUUUAUCUCUUUUGGAAUAAACUUUCCAUUGAAAGGGUAUAGACAGAGAUUUCAUAGAAUCACAGAAUAAUAGAGUUGGAAGAGAGGGUCAUCUAGUCCAAUCCCCUGCAAUGCAGAAAUGUCAACUAAAGCAUCCAUGACAGGUGACCAUCCAAUCUCUGGAUUCAUAGAAUCACAGAAUAAUAGAGUUGGAAGAGAGGGUCAUCUAGUCCAAUCCCCUGCAAUGCAGAAAUGUCAACUAAAGCAUCCAUGACAGGUGACCAUCAAUCUCUGCUUAAAAAUCUGCCAGAAGGAGAGUCCACAAGCUUCUGAGGGAAUCUGUUCCACUGUGAAACAGCUCUUACUAUCAGGAAGUUCUUCCUGAGGUUUAUAAUCUCUUUUCUUGUAACUGGAAGCCAUGGGUUUGGAUCCUACCCUCCAGAACAGGGGAAAACAAGCUUGCUCCAUCUUCCCUUUGACAGCCCUUAAUAUUUUUGAAGAUGACCAUCAUAUCUCCUUUCCAUCUCCUAUCCAGGCUAAAUAUACUCAACUCCCUCAACUAUUCCUCAUAAGACGGUUUCCAGAUUGUUGAUCAUCUUGGUAGCCCUCCUCUGCACACAUUCCAGAUUGUCAAUAUCCUUCUUAAAAUGUGUCUCUCAGAACAGGAGACAUACUCAAGGUGAAGUCUGAUCAAGGCAGAAUAGAGUGGUAUCUUACAUUUGUGCAACUGCUUUCCCCUGCUUAAGUGUAGAACCUUACAUUUGUCCCCUUACAUCUACAAGCUCCUUUAGCAUCAUUGGGUGCAUAAAUCAGGCCCUGGAGAUCUGAAUUAAUUUAAAGUCGCUAGAUGUUCCCUUACUACCUGUUUUCCUAUCUUGAGCUACAUCUUCCCCUUGCAUCAUCCUCUGUUAUCAGCAGGUUAGGUACUGCUUUCCAUUUGGGUGAAGACAGAGGCAAAACAAGUUUUGAGCAGUUCCACCUUUGUUUUGUCAUCCAAUAGUAUUAUCUGUCUUCUCCACUCAGAGAACCUACUAGUUGCUUGUUCUUCCUCUUGUUUAGGCACUGAGUCUUCAGCACUGAGGGUGGACCGCAGAUAAGCCUUUUGAUUUUAUCCAGGGCCAAUGUCAGCACCUGGCAUACCCAGGCAGCUGCUGGGGCCCAAGUGGCCUGCCAGGCACCAGGGCUGACAUACACAUCCUGCUGGCAGAUGGGCUUACCUGGAAGUGCCAGCCCUCUUGGGAUAAGUGUGGUUAGGAUGCCUGGAUGGUUUCUUUUACAGAUUUUGUACUGUACUAUUAUCUUGCCAGCCUCCCUGAUUAGAAAAUCAGGAGGGAAAUCCUUCAACAUAAAUGAUACCUAUAAUGAGCACUAUUUGUCAUCAUCUCAAGAACAUUUUAAAAUUACUAGUAUAGAGUCUAAUCUUUCUAACACUGACAAUAUGAUUGGCUAGCUUCAGUUUUACAUUUUACCUCCACUCUCGUGGUAUAUAUAUGUUCAUGCAAUUAAUAUAUCAAUUAAUGUUGCCAUUGAACCUGGAAUGUAAGAGUUCUCAAAUGAGCAUUCAAAUGGAAAUGAGUGCACUGUUGGAAACUGCUUCUGUUGGUCUGAAUUCAAUUGUCUUGGUUACUUUGUAAGCAGAGAUUGCUUUUUUGGUACUUCAGAUAUGAUAUUGCUUUUCAAGUGCUAAAUUAGCUAUGCAAAGAUUCAUCCAGAAAUAGAUUUGCAAGCAUAUUAACCGGCUUAGCUUAAAUCAGAGAAUUACCCUCAUUCUGCAUAAACUAAGAAUUUCUUCCCAUCAGCUCCCGUGCUGUCAAGGAUGGGGAAUUGCUUUGACAGUACAGUUAUGAAUUAUCAUAUUGGGAUCUAGUCAGGAAUCAGCUUGUGAUGAGACUAGGCUUUACGUUAUAAUACACAGUUGGCUACUACCAAAAAGAGCAGCUGAUUUCGCCACGUAGAACCUGAUAUCAUGAUACUGUGUAUUUGCUAUGCCCCCUGACAGAGGCAGUGAAUGACAGAAGUAAAUAAUGCACAUGACAUCAGGACACUGUAGUCCGGAUGUUGAUGGACUACAGCACCCAUCAGCCCCAGUCAGUAUUGUCAAUGGUCAGGGACAACAAAACUUGGAGGGCACCAUGUUGGCAACCCUGAACUUGACAGUAUAGAGUGGGUGAAGGGAACGAAAUAUGCAGCACUAUACUCAGUGACAGCCAUGCAUUUACUACAAUGUCUAGUUCCACAGUGUCUAGCAUGGAGUGAUGGUGGUGCUGCUGCUGUUGCUAUGGUUACAGCAUCAGUCAUCAGAAACAGAUGUGGCAUAAUGGCUUGGGAACUGGGUGGUUUUUACAGAUAUUUUAAAUAAAGCAUUUUUAACUUGUUUGGGGGCUGCUAUGGCGGAGCUGCACUAUUGGUUUUGAAGUGCGUGUAGGAUUUAUUUAUUCAUUUGUUCACAUCCAUGUGUCUCAAGAGACAACGGAAGAUUGCAGCAUUGGGGGUAAAGUCAAACAGCUGGAGAGUUACAGCACCUGCUAUGGAUGUAGAGACCUAUACAGGAUCUACAAACUGAUCUUUAUUUUUAUUUAAAUCAACCAAAUCUACCACUAAUCUAAUGUCUAAUCCUAAUCCUAAUCUAAUGUUAUCUGCAGCCUGUCUUGUUUUUAUAAAGCCGGUCUGAUACCUCUCAAUUACCGCCGCAAUUACCUGUUGGAUUCUAUUUGCUAGUAAUUUUUUUGUAUCAACAUCAAAGAUACAUUCACACAUUUUGUGUGAUCCUUAUUUGAUUUAGGAAUAACUGUGAUAUAAACUUGGUUAAAUAUUGUUGAUAAAAUGCAUUUAUCAGGUAUCUCAUCAUACAACUGAUGAAGUUUUGGUACCAAUAAAUCUGUAUAUGUUCGUAUGCUUCCCCAUUCAAAUAUACGUGCAGAUGUUAUCUCAGCAUCCAGUUCAAAGUAUUGUACAGCCUCUGCCCACAUUUGUUGUGUAAAUUCCUUAUCAUUAAGUAGGGAGACAUUGAAGUACCAAUUUUUCCCUACUUUAGUUGAUUUAUGAAAUUCACGUCUCAAGAUAACUGCGUUACGAUCAGAUACAUAACUGAUGUCAAUGCUACAAUCUUGAAUUUGAUGGUACAGUGAGGAUGAGGUUAAAAAAUAAUCCAAUCUAAAGAAAUUAUGGUUUAGGGCUGACAGAAAUGUGUAAUCUCUUUGGUUGGCCAUGGUUCUAUCAGAUUAAAUUAUUGCAUAUAUUGUCUAAG